rnacentral:rRNA from 1 species
UGGGGAAUAUUGCGCAAUGGGGGGAACCCUGACGCAGCCAUGCCGCGUGAAUGAAGAAGGCCUUAGGGUUGUAAAGUUCUUUCGGUAUUGAGGAAGGUUGAUGUGUUAAUAGCACAUCAAAUUGACGUUAAAUACAGAAGAAGCACCGGCUAACUCCGUGCCAGCAGCCGCGGUAAUACGUAGGUCCCGAGCGUUGUCCGGAUUUAUUGGGCGUAAAGGGCACGCAGGCGGUUAUUUAAGUGAGGUGUGAAAGCCCUGGGCUUAACCUAGGAAUUGCAUUUCAGACUGGGUAACUAGAGUACUUUAGGGAGGGGUAGAAUUCCACGUGUAGCGGUGAAAUGCGUAGAGAUGUGGAGGAAUACCGAAGGCGAAGGCAGCCCCUUGGGAAUGUACUGACGCUCAUGUGCGAAAGCGUGGGGAGCAAACAGGAUUAGAUACCCUGGUAGUCCACGCUGUAAACGCUGUCGAUUUGGGGGUUGGGGUUUAACUCUGGCGCCCGUAGCUAACGUGAUAAAUCGACCGCCUGGGGAGUACGGCCGCAAGGUUA